CUGUUCACUUUGGCAACAUAUACACUAAAAUUGGAACGAUGCAGAGAUCAGCAUGACCCCUGCACAAAGAUGCUGCAAAGUCACAAAGCAUUCCAUGUUUUU
ensembl:snRNA U6 U6 spliceosomal RNA